CGUGUAGGCGGCUCAGUCAGUCUGGUGUGAAACCUUGGGGCUCAACCCCAAGCCUGCACUGGAUACUGCCGAGCUUGAGUCCGGGAGGGGAGAGCGGAAUUCCUAGUGUAGCGGUGAAAUGCGCAGAUAUUAGGAAGAACACCGGUGGCGAAGGCGGCUCUCUGGAACGGUACCGACGCUGAGACGCGAAAGCGUGGGAGCGAACA
rnacentral:rRNA from 1 species